GAGAAACCUUCUGGGGCAAGACUUGCUUCAGUGGGGCUUUGGUGCUUAUUGAGUCUGCCUCCUGAGUGUGUCCCU
rnacentral:pre_miRNA from 1 species